UACGGAGGGUGCAAGCGUUAAUCGGAAUUACUGGGCGUAAAGCGCACGCAGGCGGUCUGUCAAGUCGGAUGUGAAAUCCCCGGGCUCAACCUGGGAACUGCAUCCGAAACUGGCAGGCUAGAGUCUUGUAGAGGGGGGUAGAAUUCCAGGUGUAGCGGUGAAAUGCGUAGAGAUCUGGAGGAAGACCGGUGGCGAAGGCGGCCCCCUGGACAAAGACUGACGCUCAGGUGCGAAAGCGUGGGGAGCAAACAGGAUUAGAUACCCUGGUAGUCCCCGCCGUAAACGUUGUCGACUUGUAGGUUGUGCCCUUGAGGCGUGGCUUCCGGAGCUAACGCGUUAAGUCGUCCGCCUGGGGAGUACGGCCGCAAGGUUAAA
rnacentral:rRNA from 1 species